GCUGGUCUUGUAUUAGUAUUUAGAUCUUUAGAUGCUCGUGGCUUGUGACACCCCGAUUUCAGGCUGAGUCGGGAUGGUUUCCAUUAUUCUAUCAUGUUUACUUCGCACUUGUAAUUAUAUUAUCUGCGAAUUAGACUUAUUCAUGCUAAGUAAUUAUAAAGAGAUGUAUUGUUUUGUUAUUGGUUGGCCUUGUCUCCACGAGAGGCGCCAUCACGACCAGGUUGGGAUUUUGGGUCGUGACACAGAUAAUGGGGGCUCCCUUUCUCUGAAGAAGAUAGCAGCGCAAAAGAGAGGGACUCUCUCUAGUUUUCCCUUCAGUCGCGAGUUUCCCAUCUUGCUCCCCUUCGUUAUUCGAUCAUCUUCUCCUUCUUCUAUCACUCAUCUUCCUCAUUCGAAAUUCCCAUAAACACACAUGAAAUAGAGAGGAAAUAGCUUUGAAAUUAAAAAAAAGAUAAAAAAAAUCAUCAGAUCUGGAAGCUUUAAAGUUUAAAAGUUUUUCCUGGGUUGGUGCUGUUCGAAGUCCGAAUCAUCGAGUCUGCUGUUGCUGAGCUCCGAUCUUCUGUUUUGCUGGCCCUUAUUUGGGUCAACUUGGCUAUUUCUUUCGCUUAGCAGGUAAACACAAAAGCUUUGUAAUUAUUUAUAUUUUUAAAUGAUAAGAAACAUGAAUUUCUCCAUAAAUGCUGAAUGGUUUUAAGCUGUGAUGAUUUUUUUCCGUUAAUGUUUGUGUGGAAAACAGUGGAUAAGUUAGUCAGCUACUGAAGUGUGAUGGAAGCAUCCGAAAAAAUGGUUCAAACAAAUUUGGAUACUUGGUUUGGGUGUUUUAAUAUUGUCUGUUUUUUGUUGGUUUAAUCUGAAAUUGUAGGCAAUGGUCCUACCCCCAUGAAAGACACUAGUAUCAUGUUUUCCAUAAAAAUUGUUCUCAGAUCCAUUUUAUUAUGGAAUUACUGUUGUUGUUUAGCUUGUAUAUGAAAUAAUGGUUUAGAACCCACAUGUGUGCAUACUAAGUUUGUGUGCAUUCUUAGUUGGUUCUGUGAACAGUAGUUUAGUGCUUUUAGGUUCAUUUUGUCGAUUUGUUGUUGCUUGCUGAAGAAAAAUGAGAAUUUCGCACACCACGAUUGAGGGAAAACAUUUGCAUUAAUAUUCUCCGUACGAUCUGCUUCCUUAGCUUCUUCUUGAACCAUAUAGUAUGAAUUAGUAGUACACGAAUCAAAAAUGUAAACAAGCUUAAUUAGUGGGAUUUCAUAAAAGACGAUAAAAAAAAAAGAGAAAAGGAGAUCAAGAAAGCUGAGGGUUUGACUACAAAAACGUGAGAAAGCUUACGAGAAAUAUUGAGUUGCUUCUUUUGAGCUUUUCCAUUGAAAAUGAUACUAGUAUAUAACCAAGUGCUUCAGAUUUGUCAAGAUCCUCUACUCUCCCAUUGAUUUUGUUAUUGUUCUAAUUUGCUUCAUCCCUUUUGGAAUUGGAUUAUGUACUACUGAAUUUGCUCAUUCUUCCUAGCUAUAAUAAUUCGUCAUUCGAUUUGUUCUUUGAAGCAUUUGAUCAAUUUUUUUUAAAAGAAAAUUAGUAUUCCAUUAUCAACUGUUUCUCGUUUCCAAAUUCAUAUCCAAUUAGGUUGCUGGCUAACCCAUGAGUUAUCUGUAUAUGUUGUAAAAUAAUUAGCCAAAUUACAAAGUAGAUUUGUGAAUCCAUAAUGGUAAUUAUAGCUAUUAUCUCCCAAUGUUUAAUUUCUUAAAUCCAUGGCCCUCACUUAAUUAAUUUCAAUCCUUUAGAAAUCAAGGUAUUCCAUUUAUAUGAAUUUUCCAUGGCCCUCGCAAAUUAAAGAAAAUGCGUAGUUGCUUUAGACGCAUUAUUUUAAUAAAUUACCUUCCUAAACUCGGGUGCGCAUUUAUGUGACCCAAAUCCAAACUCAACAAUGUUAUAUAAAAUGUGUUGCGGACUGCGGGUGCAUUUAUGUGACGUGGUUCAAAACAUAUUUUAAAUGGCAUUGCAAUUUUCUUUAAAAUGAAUAAAAGCGAUUUUAAAGUUAAAAUGCACAUAGAUUUGAAACAUGUAUUAAAAUCAGGUAAUAGGCCAAUUAUAACAAUUGGGCGACCGUGCUAGAACCACAGAACUCGGGAAUGCCUAACACCUUCUCCCGGGUUAACAAAAUUCCUUUCCUGGAUUUCUGGUUCGCGGACUGUAAUACAGAGUUAAUCUUUUCCUCGAUUCGGGAAUUGAACCGGUGACUUGGGACACCAUAAAAUUAUCCCAAGUGGCAACUCUAAAUUUGAUAAAUAAAUAAAUAAUCUCAUUUCGAUUGUCACUUUAAUUGGAAAAAAAAAACUCAUAUAUACACCUCUUCCGGGGGUGUAGUGAAAAAAGGAAGUGUGACACUAUUGGGCGCAAAACCAUGUUGAACAGCAAAAUUACCGAGGGACAAAAUGUGAUUGAUAAAAUUUCUGACUUACAAUAAGAAUUAUUGAUUCAUAGAAAUAUUAUAUUUCACCAGUAAUUUUGUAAGUUAAAUUUUAUUGAUCAAAGUUUGGUUCAUAGUCCAGAUGACACCAAAUCUACUACAUUUAGACCAUACAAAUCCAGCAAGUUUAUUUUUGAAGGUCAUUAAAAUAGUGGGGGAUUGUGGCAAUAUUUUAAUGCCCUUUGUUAGACAAAUGUCUUACCCAAAAACAUGUGGCAAGCCUUCUAGAAGGGAAGAGAUAAAUUGUAAGAAGUUUUUGAAAAGUGGCAAUUACUUUGCCACGUUCCUUUCCCUCAGCAUAUCAUUCUAUGCACAUAUGCCUAUAAAUAGGCUCUCAAUCGGAUAAGAAAAUCAUCAUCAGCAAGACAAAAGGAAAUCCUUCUUCUCUUUCCUUCUAAUUUCAUUAUUCACCAACUUCCCUUUGUUGUCUUUCUUUUUGGUAGUUUAAUUUCUCUUGUUGCCCAUUUUUAAAUAGUUGGGUUUGUAAUAUUUAAUUUUGCUGAUUCCUGUAUCCUCUAAAUAAAUAGAGAUGUGGUUGUUUAAUCCUGAAAAAAUAUUUCACAUUGCUGAAAUAGUUUCUUUGAACAGUGCCCAGCACGACUCAAGCCAAUUCAUGUAUCUGCUUUCAAAUAAUAUUAAAGCAGUAUUAUUAUUGAAAUUCUUGCUCUAACUUACUACUACAAAAUAUACAUCCCUAGGUCAGAAGCUUGCAAAUAUGGAACCUUAUAAGUCUUUCUCUUCAUCAAUUAAGUACACUUAAUUCUCAUUAAGAAUUAUUUUUCUUUAAGAGAAAAAGAAAGGGAGAAACUUGGGGCGAUUUACUUAAAAGUGAUUUUCUAGAGAGAGAAAGGGAGAAACAUGUGGCAUCUUACGGAAUUUUUACCUCCUAUAGAAAAGGUUAAUAACUUAUUUAUUUUAAAUAAAUACCAUUUUAAAAAAUUAUAUUCUAUAGAUACCUUUUAAGGUUUAUAGCAAAAUAUUUAAUUUUGGUUACCUCCUAGCUCUAAGCCACUAAUUACGUUAUUCAGUUAUACUAUUUUAUUUCUCUCUCUACUUUGAUACAUCCCAUUCUCUUCCCCCAUUCUCUGAAAAUACGAUGCUCAAUCUCAAAAUUCCUCUCACCCACACUAUUUUCUUUUCAUUCCGAUCAAUUUCUUGCACCAAAUAUUUGAAUUGCGAUUUCUCUGUCAUCAAUACACUCUCUCUGAAGUUUCAAAACCACUUGAGUUUACUAUGUAUUCAAAUGUUAAUAUGUUUAUCUCUUUGUUCAUUCUUCAUCUGUUGGUUGCUGCCAGUGUUAGAGGACACGAGAUCAAGAAAGGAGAUUUCUCUGUUAAGGUCACUAAAAGCAAAUCAAAAUGCAUAUGUUUCGCCGGAUUCACCGAAAUAAGAAAAUAAGAAGACGCGUGUUGUACCUUCAAAUCUCAAAGGUGUCGCGUGUUGUACCUUCAAACGUUGCUACAGCGGAUUCGCCGGAAAUUAGGGUUUGUUCUUGAACAAAGACGACGUAGUUUGAAGAUGAGCAACUUAUUUUCUGUUAAUAUAUUUCAAUGUAUUAUCAUGUAUUUCAUUGUAUUCAUUGUCUUUUUUUUUAUUGUAAUUCAAUGUAUCUCGUUGUAUCCCAUGUAUUUCAUUGUAUUCACUGUCAUUUUUUUUAUUGUAUUUCAAUGUAUCCCGUUGUAUUCUAUGUAUUUCAUUGUAUUCACUGUCUCGCNN
rnacentral:lncRNA from 1 species